GAAGAACGCUGGCGGCGUGCUUAACACAUGCAAGUCGAGCGGAGCGGCGAACGGGUGAGUAACGCGUGAGUAACUGCCCCCCUCUCUGGGAUAACAGUUGGAAACGGCUGCUAAUAUCGGAUAGUGGGGGAUGCCUCGCGUCCUAUCAGCUUGUUGGUGGGGUAGUGGCCUAACAAGGCGACGACGGGUAGCCGGCCUGAGAUGGCGACCGGCGCCAGUGGGCUGCGAUACGGCCCAGACUCCUACGGGCGGCAGCAGUGGGGAAUAGUGCCCAAUGGGGGAAACCCUGAUGCAGCAACGCCGCGUGCGGGAUGGCGGCCUUCGGGUUGGAAACCGCUUUCAGCCAUGACGCGGUAGUGGCAGAAGAAGCACCGGCUAACUACGUGCCAGCAGCCGCGGUAAUAC
rnacentral:rRNA from 1 species